ACUCAAAAGUCCUUGACUCCAGUGGCAAACCCAGAAAGGGAAUAUUUUCCUGAACUUUUAAAAUAACUUUAUGGUCAUAAAAAAUCUAUAAAGUAUAUCACAAGGUACAUAUAUUGUGAAGAUCUUUGAAGGAAAAAAAAUAGCAAAUCCCUGCAGAUAAUGUACUCUGGAGAAAAACGACUUGUCAAAUACUUACCUAUGUGUUUUACCUUUUUUUUUUUAAGAUUUAUUUAUUUAUUUAUUUAUUUAUUUAUUUAUUUAUUUAUUUAUUAUAUGUAAGUACACUGUAGCUGUCUUCAGACACUCCAGAAGAGGGCGUCAGAUCUUGUUACAGAUGGUUGGGAGCCACCAUGUGGUUGCUGGGAUUUGAACUCCGGACCUUCGGAAGAGCUGAGCCAUCUCACCAGCCCGUGUUUUACCUUUUUAUUACUACAUUCUUCAUCUGUUCGUACAAAUGAACCUGUUUUAUUUUCCUAAUAUAGGAAAAAUCUUACCAGUAUACUUUCUGGGUAACUAGAAUUGAUGAAAAUGUAGGUUUGAAUUAUAUAGUCUCAAGGACAGAGAUCAAAUCCUGUUUCCUAGACUUGGUUGUAAUUGUACACUUUUAACCUAACUGUUGUUGAUUGUAGAUUUGUCCCCUCUAACAUUAUAUUAAAAUAUUAUGCAAGUUUAGUUAAAUGGAAAAUCAGCUUGCUUUCAUUUUUAAAAGAUCAUGUGUGGUGCUGUACAAAAUGAAAGGAGCCAAGAGUUGGCAGGGCUGCAUCAGGCAGUCGUCAGUAAGUCUGUCUUACUGCAUGCUGCCUCCGAGCAUGCUCAUGUAGUCAUGAGCAGCAGCUUCCUCCUUUGUAUUCGUCUCCUUGGCUAUGGUUACAUUUGGAUUCAUAAGUAAACAGCAUUUCACAGGAUCACAUUUCAGCCUAGAUACUCUUGGGAACUGUGAAAAUCAUUGGUCUCAACAACCUCACGUACUGUGGAACUAUGUACUAGAACUCGCUAAGAUACCAUAUCAUCUGUGGGCUGAGUGCAUGGAUGGCUGCAACAGGCACAUAGUAAUCAGGGCAGCAUGUAUGUAACUGUGGGACCAGCAUUUAUGUAAAUGUGGGACCCACAGUAGUCAGGGCAGCAUAUACAUACAUAACUGUGGGACCAGCAUACAUGUAAGUGUGGGACCCACAGUAGUCAGGGUAGCAUGUAUGUAGCUGUGGGACCAGCUUGGAAUGUUUUUUCACAGCGAAGCUGUUAACUAUCACUGCUGUGUCCUAAGCCUCCCUGGUGCCUUUGUAGUAUAUCAUUCAGAAUCUUCUCUUGCUACUGUUUUCAAAUAUUGCUAACUACAGUAGACUGUAAACUGUAGCCCAGAACUUCCCUCUCUAGCUGGCUGUGCCUCUGUACUUGUUCCACAGCCCCUUUCCUUAAUGUCUUUACCCCCCACUGGCCAGUCUGUUCUCAGCUUUAUGAGAUCAGCUCUUUACCUUCCACGUCUGUGUAAGAUCCUGUGCUAUUUGUCUCCCUGCCCUGCUUUAUUUGAACUUAACAUAAUGUCCUCCAGGCUUAUCCACACUGUCACAGUUUUUUAGGGCUAAAUAAAACUCCGUUGUGUAUAUGGGCCACAUUUUCCGUAUUCAUUCAUUCAUCAGUGAUUAUUUAGGUUGAUUCAAUAUUUUGGCUAUUACAAAUAGCACUUCAGAUAAAACAGGACUGCAGAUAUCUCUGCACAGUAAUUGUUCCUCUUCUAGAUAUCUACAUGAUAGUAAGGUUGCCCGCUGCUGGAUUACUUCUAUUUCUAGGUUUUGUUUUAUUUUGUUUUUUGGUUUUUUUUUAGGACCUUGCAUAUGCUCUUCCAUAAAGGUGGUACUAAUUAUGUCCUCAUCUGGUCCCUUCUUUAGUAGUUUUAGAACCUUAAUGAAAUUGAAAAAUACAGUUGCUAGUUACAGAGCAGCUUCAUGUGUACCAAUGUGUAUAAAAAAGAAAUCUAUAGCCCUUAUCUGACUACAAAGAAUCCAAAGCAAAGGUUUUAUUUUUUCAUAUUCCCAUUUAAUGAAAUGCUAGGAUUUCAUGAAACGUUUAUAAAUUAAAUAAACUUUGAAUUUUUCAACCUGAUGGUUUUAAUAACGUGUGUGAGACCAGUGUCUUCAGAUCUAAUUCAGUUGUUUCUUCAGUCUCCUGCCUGCAUUUUCAUCUUCUCACCUUACUAACACUUUAUGUUUUGGGUAAUGAUUAUAACAUUAAAAAUGAAUAAAAUUUGGCUAUCUGUAGGCAGAAAGUGAAUUUUACUUGUUUGUGACAUAUUUAAGUAUAAUCUAAAUAAAGGUCUUCUCCCAGUUCCUGUGAUCAUCAUACACAGACUUUUACCUGUUUGCACACUCAUUGCUAAUGUUUGCCAUGUCAAGUGUCUGUGCCUUCAAUGAAGCAUUUGUUAAAACUUUAUCAUCUGUCACUUACUCCCAGCACUUAAUAUAUAUUCAAAUGUGUCAUCUUAUGAAAGAUCUUUGUCUUCACCGAGUUUCUCCAGGCCUUUUACAGCCACUGACAUUGUUUAUACACUGUUAAUCUCAGGGCACGUGUAGAGUGGGAACCAGUGCUUUUGCUCGCAGGAGUGCAAAAGCAGCCACCCUGCAGUGUGCACCAGCCUGUGGUCCUGUGCCUUCUCUGUAAUGAUGUAGCUCUGUCUCUCCUUUAUUCUUUGCAGAGUGCUGCAGCAGCUCCCAGCCCCGUGCUAGGAAACAUGCCCCCAGGAGAUGGCAUGCCAGUAGGUCCCGUGCCACCAGGGUUCUUUCAGGUACUCAGAGUCUUGACUAGGGAUGUUAAGGUGGAGGGACCACUGCUUGGUGUUAUUAAUGGUGAUGGAGUAGGACGAGGCUCUUUGAGUUCUUGUAGAUUGAUUCUUAAGGUAAAUGUGAUACUGUACAGCCAACUCUUGAUUGCUCGGGCUGGUCACUCAUAUAUUCCCUUCCUCUGUUGUAUUAUUUCUUAUGAUAAUAUUAAGUCAUUUCAUUUGAUU
rnacentral:lncRNA from 1 species